ACACUUACCUGGCAAGGGAGAUACCAUGAUCACAAAGGUGGUUUUCCCAGGUUGAGGCUUAAUCCAUUGCAUUCCAGAUUUGCUGACCCCUAAGAUUUCCCCAAAUGCAGGAAAUUGGACUUUAUAAUUUGUGGUAGUGGAGGAUUGCAUUUGAGCUCUCCCCUA